UGCAGUCGAGCGGAACGAGUUAUCUGAACCUUCGGGGAACGAUAACGGCGUCGAGCGGCGGACGGGUGAGUAAUGCCUAGGAAAUUGCCCUGAUGUGGGGGAUAACCAUUGGAAACGAUGGCUAAUACCGCAUGAUGCCUACGGGCCAAAGAGGGGGACCUUCGGGCCUCUCGCGUCAGGAUAUGCCUAGGUGGGAUUAGCUAGUUGGUGAGGUAAGGGCUCACCAAGGCGACGAUCCCUAGCUGGUCUGAGAGGAUGAUCAGCCACACUGGAACUGAGACACGGUCCAGACUCCUACGGGAGGCAGCAGUGGGGAAUAUUGCACAAUGGGCGCAAGCCUGAUGCAGCCAUGCCGCGUGUAUGAAGAAGGCCUUCGGGUUGUAAAGUACUUUCAGUCGUGAGGAAGGUGGGGGCGUUAAUAGCUGCUUUGUUUGACGUUAGCUACAGAAGAAGCACCGGCUAACUCCGUGCCAGCAGCCGCGGUAAUACGGAGGGUGCGAGCGUUAAUCGGAAUUACUGGGCGUAAAGCGCAUGCAGGUGGUUUGUUAAGUCAGAUGUGAAAGCCCGGGGCUCAACCUCGGAAUAGCAUUUGAAACUGGCAGACUAGAGUACUGUAGAGGGGGGUAGAAUUUCAGGUGUAGCGGUGAAAUGCGUAGAGAUCUGAAGGAAUACCGGUGGCGAAGGCGGCCCCCUGGACAGAUACUGACACUCAGAUGCGA
rnacentral:rRNA from 1 species